UGCACUGAAACACUAGCACCCGUCCGAUCACCGAAGUUAAACAACGACUAGUUUGGUCAAUACCUAGAUGGGUGACCACUCGAGAAUGCCAGGUGGUGCGU